AAAAAAAAUAAAAAUAAAUUUUCCCAGACUGGAUUGAGGUGACAGGAAGCCUACAGUAAAUCAAAUGACCAACAAUGGGGUUGUGGAGUUUCCAUCCAACUCCCCCAAAAAAUGCCAGUGGUGCCUUGUGGUAUUCUGGGGUCAAAGCCAGGCUCCUGAGCACUUCUCACAAACCCAACACGCACAACAAAGAAAAGAUGGAUUGAGGCGGAAGAAAAAAAAAGAGGACAAAGUCUCAGCGCGUCUCACAU